rnacentral:rRNA from 1 species
ACGCUGGCGGCAUGGCUAAAACAUGCAAGUCGAACGAGCCCGCAAGGGCAAGUGGCGAAAGGGUUAGUAAUACGAUCGAAUGUACCCUGAGGUGGCGGAUAGUCGUGGGAAACUGCGGGUAAUACGUCAUGAUCUCUCCGGAGCAAAGAUUUAUCGCCUUGGGAGCAGCGAUCGUCCUAUCAGGUAGUUGGCGGGGUAAUGGCCCACCAAGCCGAAGACGGGUAGCGGGUGUGAGAGCACGGCCCGCAACAUCGGAACUGAGACACUGUCCGGACUCCUACGGGAGGCUGCAGUAACGAAUCUUCCGCAAUGGGCGAAAGCCUGACGGAGCAAUGCCGCGUGUGGGAUGAAGCGCCUUCGGCGUGUAAACCACUGUCAGGGAACGGAACCAAUGAUUGUUCCCAAAGGAAGUGGCGACUAACUCUGUGCCAGCAGUCGCGGUAAUACAGAGGCC